CAGAGGAGGUGCGAAGCUAGGCGGCGCAUGCGCAUUUCGAUGUUUUUCCUAAAGAAGCUCAUGGCCGACAUUUGCGAAAUUUGCGGUACAAUUUCAAACGGCCUGGGGCACAAAUGAAUAUAUAUCCUAAUGGUGCAAAAUGAAUCAAGACAUGUGAAAAACACAGGCACUCUAAAAAAGGAGAGAAUUUCCUUUGCUACGUUGAAAACCCAUUUCAGAAGCACUCAUCACAGCAGAUAAAGCAUGUCCAGCAAGCAAGACCCUCCAGACCAGGCAGACCUAACAAAAACUACUUAGAGAAAACAACUUAUAUAAUUAGAAAAAGCUGGUCGAACUCCUAUUAUACCUAUGCCUUGCAGUGAUACACUGUUUGAUGUAAUUGCUCACUGGCCUCAGACAGCAGAGAAGAAACAUGGAUGUUGAUGUCAUUGUGCUAAUGGAUAUUCAAAGAUAUAUUGCAGCAAGUGUCAAGUUUGCCUAUGUCUGAGAUGUUGGAGAAUUGCUUUGCUAACUAUUAUGCAAAUAAAACUUUUAUCAUGAAGCAUAUAUAUACUUCUUUUCAAAUAAUAUGCAAAUCACUUUAUUAUAAACAGAACAAAAUGCAACUAAUAAAAUAUGAAAGUUUUCAAUUUAUGUUAAUGUCAUAAGUGUAGAUACAUGUAUUCCUACUGUUGAUUUUUGAUUGAUGGAAUGUCUUCCAGU